rnacentral:rRNA from 1 species
CAACUUUCAACAACGGAUCUCUUGGCUCUCGCAUCGAUGAAGAACGCAGCGAAAUGCGAUAAGUAAUGUGAAUUGCAGAUUUUCAGUGAAUCAUCGAAUCUUUGAACGCACCUUGCGCUCCUUGGUAUUCCGAGGAGCAUGCCUGUUUGAGU